UUUGGUUGGACCGGUUUAAACAGGUCCCCCACGUUCGCCACACCCCUCUCCGUUCCCUCCAGUACGCAAACCCCCCAGGUCCGUCGGCCUCCUCCCUUGGUCGCGUGAUAAGCCCCAGGCGAAGCUACCCAUUCGCACGUCUCCCUCUGCUUCGCACGACCCCAGGGCCGGGCCGCACCUCUCUCUCGCCGCUCUCCAACGCCGGUCGCCAGCCCUAGCCGACCGAAACCCCCUAAGCCCUCGUCCGCCUCCUCUCUCCCGUCCGAUCCGGCGCCUUUCCUGGUCGUCGUCUACGAGCCGCCAAUUUGCCCUAGCCGUCAGCUCGCUUGCUCUAUGUGGGGUCUCUUGCGGCUUUGGAAGCUCGUUACUAGGAGGCAAGCCAAGCAAGAAGCGAACAAGAGGAGAGGCAAACCAAGAGAGGGAUGGGGACCUGGAGCAAGAGGAGGAUGGUCUGAACGAGGAGGCUGAGCGAGAGCAGCUCUCAGGCUUCUUGUGCGAUUCAAAGCUAAAUCAGAAGGAAAUCUUGCAUCAGGAGAGAGGUAAGUAGCUUUGCUCUUAAACUCUUGCAUUUAGAGUUCCUUCGAAACCUAUGGACUAGGCUGGGGCAUCAUUGAGGGGCCGAUUUUGAGAAGGAAUUGAGGAAGUUGGAAGGUAAACAAAUAAGUAAUCUUAGAUGAUGUAUCUCAAUUGUAAAUUCUUUAAUAAAUUUGAAAGAUUAUCAAGAUAUAUGUAUUGUAACUUGCUUGUGCAUCUUAAUCAAAGAAGCUAGCCCUCUUUCUCCCCGGAUGUAGGCACCCCAUGUCAAACCACGUAACUCCAUGUGUUAUUGAUUCUUUCGGUGAUUGUUUUUUAUAAUUCUUUGAUUAACAUGUUUUAUGUUCAAGUUUGCAA